CACUUCCCAGCCGAGACGGGAAACCGUGAGGAAGGCUGAGGCAGAUGCGGCCGAAGCCCAGUAUUUGCACACCUGGAAGAUCUGCAGGUGACAACCAACACAUCACCUUGUAAACGACUAAAGUCUGAUAAUAUAAAAUGUCGGUGAGAAUGUGGGAAAAUACAAACCGGCACGCACCGCGGGUGGGUGUGCAAACUGGUCUGAUCACCUGGGAACUCCAUGUGGCAAUGCCAACGCCGAGUACAAGCGAACAUCUGAACACCCUGUGACCCAGCCGCUCCGCCCACGCACGCACGCAGCCGGUGCUGGCAAGAAUGCGCAUGCGCAGCACCUGCUGUCCCGGCACCCAACGGAAUGCCACCGACGCGGAGGUCAGAGGAUGAGGGCCUAGUAUGCAGCACUGAACAGGAAACAGCCUCCAAGGAGGACAAAGGGACCUGCUUUUGAUGCUUCAUGGCUGUUGUGCUGUGAGCAGGUCCUGCCUCUUCAAAAUGGAAUUACAUGCAAAUGGAAGGAGGAGAGAACGACCCACAGAUUUUCCAUGUUCCCACCGGCUGGUUCACUCCCCAGAUGCCACACUGAAGCCGAGAGCCAGGAGCUCCAUCCGCAUUCCCACAUGGGUGCCAGGGCCGAAGCACUUGGGCCAUCACCCACUGCCUUGCAGGUGGUGAGGCCGAGCGCCAGGGCUUUUGUGCCGGACCGGCGGGCCGGAGGGCGCAGUGUGUGUCUGGGGAAGAUGGAUGCCUUCAUUACCAUGUGAAUCCUGGGAACGGCCGCGGCCCGGAGGACAUUUCCAUCCUGUGGGGCUUCCAGAGACACAGACGGACAACAAAACAAAAAAAUGGUAAGGAAGAAAAAACUCUUUUUUUCCCCCUUUCUCACUGCAGCUUGCUUUCCCACCGACAGCGCGGCGCGCUGGGGCGUGAACACAGUGGCUGCGGCCCGCCUGCGGCCCUGGCUGGCUCCCCCGUGCCCGUGGGCUGUGUCCUUGGCAAAUCCAGGGCCAUCAGCGGGUAGUGCUGAGCAAACUGGGAGCAGCGUUGAGUCCUAAAAAAACGAAAAGUGGCGUUAACUUGGCCAGAGGAGAAAGGCCUGGCUGGCGUUUGGGAAGGAGGCAGGUAGGGGAGAGAGAAUGCUCUCUCCCAGUUCCUGUGCCCCCAUUUCACAGAUGAGGAAACUGGGCAGUCAGAAUCGCAAACCUUGGGGGCAGAGGACACCAGUAUCCUGUAUUGGAGUGCCUGGUUCAAGUCCAGGCACCUCUGCUUAUGAUCCAGCUUCCUGCUAAUGUGCCGGGGUGGGGGUGGGGGGCAGCAGGUGAUGGCUCAAGUACAUGGGUUCCUACUACCCACUUGAGAGACCA